rnacentral:rRNA from 1 species
UACGGGGGGGGCAAGCGUUGUUCGGAAUUACUGGGCGUAAAGGGCUCGUAGGCGGCCAACUAAGUCAGACGUGAAAUCCCUCGGCUUAACCGGGGAACUGCGUCUGAUACUGGAGGGCUUGAAUCCGGGAGAGGGAUGUGGAAUUCCAGGUGUAGCGGUGAAAUGCGUAGAUAUCUGGAGGAACACCGGUGGCGAAGGCGGCAUCCUGGACCGGUAUUGACGCUGAGGCGCGAAAGCUAGGGGAGCAAACGGGG